rnacentral:lncRNA from 1 species
CUCAUUAAUUGAUAAAAAUAAACAUGUAACACCCAUAUCAAGAGAUUAAUAAUUAGUGCAAGAGAAAGUAAAAAAAAUAAAAUUAAAAAUUAAUCAUGAAAAGGAGUCAAUUUGAAUUAAUAAAGAAUAGUAAAUAAAUAAGAAUGAAUGGUGAAAAAAAAAAUUAAGCACCUUUACUUACAAUUAAGCCCUUUACAUACUAAUGAAAAAGACAAAAAAGAAAAGAAAAGAAGAACUAAAAAUAAAUCAUGAAAAGGAGUCAAUUUGAAUUAAUAAAGAAUAGUAAAUAAAUAAGAAUGAAUGGUGAAAAAAAAAAUUAAGCACCUUUACUUACUAAUGAAAAAGACAAAAAAGAAAAGUAAAGAAGAAAAGGAGCAAGCAAAAUAUUAAGUGUUGGCAGUGAGGUUCGAACCCGCGUUGACUGUGUGGCAGACUAACUCCUUCGCCAAUUGAGCUGUUCCGCAUUUCAGUCAGUGGGUGGCAAAAGUA